GAUCAUGGCUCAGGAUGAACGCUGGCGGCGUGCUUAACACAUGCAAGUCGAACGCUGAAGCUCCCAGCUUGCUGGGGGUGGAUGAGUGGCGAACGGGUGAGUAUCACGUGAGUAACCUGCCCUUGACUCUGGGAUAAGCCCGGGAAACUGGUCUAAUACUGGAUAGGACUGGCCAUCGCAUGGUGGUUGGUUGAAAGCUUUUUGCGGUUUUGGAUGGACUCGCGGCCUAUCAGCUUGUUGGUGGGGUAAUGGCCUACCAAGGCUUUGACGGGUAGCCGGCUUGAGAGGGUGACCGGCCACACUGGGACUGAGACACGGCCCAGACUCCUACGGGAGGCAGCAGUGGGGGAUAUUGCACAAUGGGCGCAAGCCUGAAUGCUGCGACGCCGCGUGAGGGAUGACGGCCUUCGGGUUGUAAACCUCUUUCAGUUGGGAAGAAGCCUUUCGGGGUGACGGUACCUUCAGAAGAAGCACCGGCUAACUACGUGCCAGCCGCUGC
rnacentral:rRNA from 1 species